rnacentral:tRNA from 1 species
CUUUAGGUAGCUUAAAAUAAAGCCUCAGCCUCUUAAUCUGACGAUGAAUAUCUUAUUCUCUAAAGA